ANGCAAUUACNAAGCGAAACUGCGAAUGGCUCAUUAUAUAAGUUAUCGUUUAUUUGAUAGUACCUUACUACAUGGAUAACCGUGGUAAUUCUAGAGCUAAUACAUGCUGAAAAUCCCGACUUCGGAAGGGAUGUAUUUAUUAGAUUCAAAACCAAUGCCCUUCGGGGCUCCAAUGGUGAUUCAUGAUAACUUCUCGAAUCGCACGGCCCCGCGCCGGCGAUGGUUCAUUCAAAUUUCUUCCCUAUCAACUUUCGAUGCUACGGUAGUGUCCUAGCAUGGUUGCAACGGGUAACGGGGAAUA
rnacentral:rRNA from 1 species